UUUAUUGUAGCUGGAGUCGCCUUUUUGCAGCUUGAAUAGACCAUUAUUCCUGGCUUCGCUGUGGUUUUCAGGCUGUUCUUGCCACCUGGUUAGACUGAUUUCAUUCAAGUAAUCUUCUGAGACUUGUGCUGUGAGCAACUGUAUGAGGUGUGUGUAACGCUGUAGUCAAUACCUGGCCCCUGAGUUGGGUGGCUAGCUGUCCUAGUAUCCUGGUGGUGGGGGUGUUUGGAGCACGGAGUGUGGAUUGUCGUUUGUAGUCACUCACCUCACUGUGUGUGUGUGUGUGUGUGUGCUUUACGAAUAGCCACUUUUGCAGCUAGCCUACCCUGCUAGGGGUAAGCCUUCGUAAAACUGAUUAAUGUAUGCCUGGUCGAAUCAUAUCUUUGCCUGAUCUUUUAAAAGGUGUAUUUUCUAAUUUGUGAAUUUAAUAAAUAUUUUAUACGCUA